rnacentral:tRNA from 1 species
AUGCCGAUGGUGACACGGUUAUCAUGCUUGCCUUCCAUUCUCUGAAUGCUACAACAUAAUUCGAGUGAGCAGUAGGGGUUCGACUCCCCUUCGGUGUA